rnacentral:tRNA from 5 species
GGCGCGUUCGUCUAGAGGCCCAGGACGCCGCCCUUUCAAGGCGGAGAUCAGGGGUUCGAAUCCCCUACGCGCUACCA